ACGGAAGCCCGUUGAGGCCAAGGUCGGUCCGGAAGAGAAGGUUCGAUCUCCCGAUUCGGGCACCCAGCACGAGUCCCGGCACCCACGCGGAGUCAUAGCCGCGAUAAUGGCAGAAGUGUUGCGGGCCUGCGUAAUUGCGAAAAGUUAACGGUGUCGACGGCCCUUUGGGUGGGGUUGCAGCCGGAAGCGUCGCAAGAUCGCCGAGGCCACCCACGCAGCCCAAAGAUGCACGCUUGGUAACCGAGAUUCGUGUUUGCGGGCGGCGCUCCGAAAUCCUUCGGAACGCCGCCCGCUUCAUGCG
rnacentral:ncRNA from 1 species